UUAAGUUCAGCGGGUAUCCCUACCUGAUCCGAGGUCAAGCGUAAAGUUGUAGGCUUGUGGACGCCGCCGUACUCAGGAGAAAACGCAAAAUGUGCUGCGCUCUACUACUAGACGGCUGGCUGCCAAUUCAUUUGAGGCGAGUUCACGCGCAUAGCGGAACAAACGCCCAACACCCAGCAGGGCUGGAGGGUACAAAUGAC
rnacentral:misc_RNA from 1 species